ACGCCGGCGGCAUGCCUAACACAUGCAAGUCGAACGAGACCUUCGGGUCUAGUGGCGCACGGGUGCGUAACGCGUGGGAAUCUGCCCUGGGGUGCGGAAUAACUCGGAGAAAUCCGUGCUAAUACCGCAUAAUGUCUUCGGACCAAAGAUUUAUCGCCCUGGGAUGAGCCCGCGUAGGAUUAGCUAGUUGGUGGGGUAAAGGGCCUACCAAGGCGACGAUCCUUAGCUGGUCUGAGAGGAUGAUCAGCCACACUGGGACUGAGACACGGCCCAGACUCCUACGGGAGGCAGCAGUGGAGAAUAUUGGACAAUGAGCGAAAGCCUGAUCCAGCAAUGCCGCGUGAGUGAUGAAGGCCCUAGGGUUGUAAAGCUCUUUACCCGGGAUGAUAAUGACAGUACCGGGAGAAUAAGCUCCGGCUAACUCCGUG
rnacentral:rRNA from 1 species